GCCCGGCUAGCUCAAUCGGUAGAGCGUGAGACUCUUAUUCCAGAGUACUCCGGUUAAUCUCAAGGUUGUGGGUUCGACCCCCACGUCGGGCU